GCCCGCCUAGCUCAAUCGGAUAGAGCGUGAGACUUUUACGGACUGAGCCACACCUGGUCAUAAAAUCUCAAGGCUGCGGGUUCGACCCCCGCGGUGGGCU